UUUAAAGUCCCAGUGAAAUUAAAAAUAAAAUUCCUGUUUUUUCAUGAAAUAUUGCAGCGUUUAUUGUGAAUAGCUUACCAAUGUGGGUCAUUCUCUUCUUAACAUUCAUGGCCCCUCAUUAUCUUCAGUUAAAAUCUAAAAAAGCACUUCGGUCCUGUAUCAAAGGAAGUCGUGCCACUCGGCAGUCAUGUUCACAACGCCUCUGGGCAGCUAUUUACGUCAUAGCACCUGGUCCAGGUUUCGCCUUGCCCUGGAAUCCGUUGUAGGCCUCCUCAUGGUCACGAUCUGCAAAAGCCUGAUGUUUUCCGUCUUCUUACGGGUGUUCUUUAGCCAGUAUGACCCGGAACGAUUCGGGUCAUACUGAAUGAACAUAUUUGACUGAUAGCACGGUCUGUCACUCCUCGAUGCUUUCUCUUUCAGGACAAGUGCGAGUUGAAGAGGGAGACGGAACAGAGGACAGAUCAGACGUCGAGCGGUGACAACGAGGAGACGCUCGGAAACCCUUACCCCAAAGAUGUCAGUGAACGAAGAAAGCCCUCACCAUACGGUACGUCCAACUCCUCAAACAGAUCGAUGAGAAACACCACCGACUUAAAGAAAUGGCAAAAAUACAACACAGGUUCUUCGAGCUUAUGUGUAGUGUAAGUUUACUCACUAAACAUUUAGAUGUUUUAUUUAAAGUGUCUUAGAGCGCUUUCAUUGAUCAGUUUGUGUUUCUCUGGGGCUCAACCCCAUGACCUCUGCAUGUAUUACUGCUUGUUUCUGUGUUUAGGAGUCUGUGUACCCUUAUGAAGAUGACUAUGGGCACAUGCUACCGUGUUGUUUUUUUAAUUUAUUUUUAGCUUCAGCUGGUUAUUUUAGUUAGGUAGAUAGAACUGUUAGUAAAAUAAGUUGGCAACUUUAGUUUUAUAGAUGAAAUACUGUAUAUUUUUAUAGUUAGCCUACAUACAGUAUAUAGUUAAAGUUUUAUAGUUUAGUAGUUGUAGCAAGGGGUUGUUUAGGCUAGUUUUGUCAUAUAGUUUACAGUAUUUAAAGAGAACAAAAAAUAGCUUUUAGCAGUUCUUGUAGCAUCUAAUACUUUAAAACUCUGAAAUUUGCUUACAUCACCUUGUGGAGGUAAAUCGGAUUGGGUUUCCUAGGUUUUUGAGGAGGGGUUUCUUCUUCAGGUAUUUGUAACUUAAUGUAUAACUUCUUGGUUGCACAAAUUGGCUAUAAUAAAGAUCUGUGUCAUAUUACGGUAUUUGUUACUGAACAGCCCUCCUGUCACUACAUAUGUUUUUAUACUCAAAAACAUUAAAAAAUGUUAUAUAUGUACAGUUUGUGCAGAAUAAAAGUCAUUAGU